AGAGUUUGACUCUGGCUCAGGAUGAACGCUAGCGAUAGGCUUAACACAUGCAAGUCGAGGGGCAGCGAGAUGUAGCAAUACGUCGUCGGCGACCGGCGAAUGGGUGAGUAACACGUAUGCAACUUACCUCUUAGAGGUGAAUAACCCGAUGAAAGUCGGACUAAUACACCAUAUACUCCUUGGGUCACAUGAAUUGAGGAGGAAAGAUUUAUCGCUAAGAGAUAGGCCUGCGUUCCAUUAGCUCGUUGGUAAGGUAACGGCUUACCAAGGCAACGAUGGAUAGGGGGACUGAGAGGUUGACCCCCCACAUUGACACUGAGAUACGGGUCAAACUCCUACGGGAGGCAGCAGUGAGGAAUAUUGGUCAAUGGGCGAGAGCCUGAACCAGCCAAGUAGCGUGAAGGAUGACUGCCCUAUGGGUUGUAAACUUCUUUUAUACGGGAAUAAAGUGAGGCACGUGUGCCUUUUUGUAUGUACCGUAUGAAUAAGGAUCGGCUAACUCCGUGCCAGCAGCCGCGGUAAUACGGAGGAUCCGAGCGUUAUCCGGAUUUAUUGGGUUUAAAGGGAGCGUAGGCGGACGCUUAAGUCAGUUGUGAAAGUUUGCGGCUCAACCGUAAAAUUGCAGUUGAUACUGGGUGUCUUGAGUACAGUAGAGGCAGGCGGAAUUCGUGGUGUAGCGGUGAAAUGCUUAGAUAUCACGAAGAACUCCGAUUGCGAAGGCAGCUUGCUGGACUGUAACUGACGCUGAUGCUCGAAAGUGUGGGUAUCAAACAGGAUUAGAUACCCUGGUAGUCCACACAGUAAACGAUGAAUACUCGCUGUUUGCGAUAUACAGUAAGCGGCCAAGCGAAAGCGUUAAGUAUUCCACCUGGGGAGUACGCCGGCAACGGUGAAACUCAAAGGAAUUGACGGGGGCCCGCACAAGCGGAGGAACAUGUGGUUUAAUUCGAUGAUACGCGAGGAACCUUACCCGGGCUUGAAUUGCAACUGAAUGAUGUGGAGACAUGUCAGCCGCAAGGCAGUUGUGAAGGUGCUGCAUGGUUGUCGUCAGCUCGUGCCGUGAGGUGUCGGCUUAAGUGCCAUAACGAGCGCAACCCUUAUCGAUAGUUACCAUCAGGUUAUGCUGGGGACUCUGUCGAGACUGCCGUCGUAAGAUGUGAGGAAGGUGGGGAUGACGUCAAAUCAGCACGGCCCUUACGUCCGGGGCUACACACGUGUUACAAUGGGGGGUACAGAAGGCAGCUACACGGCGACGUGAUGCUAAUCCCUAAAGCCUCUCUCAGUUCGGAUUGGAGUCUGCAACCCGACUCCAUGAAGCUGGAUUCGCUAGUAAUCGCGCAUCAGCCACGGCGCGGUGAAUACGUUCCCGGGCCUUGUACACACCGCCCGUCAAGCCAUGAAAGCCGGGGGUACCUGAAGUGCGUAACCGCAAGGAGCGCCCUAGGGUAAAACUGGUGAUUGGGGCUAAGUCGUAACAAGGUAGCCGUACCGGAAGGUGCGGCUG
rnacentral:rRNA from 1 species